rnacentral:RNase_P_RNA from 10 species
GGGAGCAGGAGGGUCACUGACAGUGUACGACACUGAGGAAAGUCCCCUCUCCAAGAUGCAAGCGGUCCGAUUAACGUCGGAGAUCUGGGAAGGUCGGCUCUGUAAUAGAAACGAACUACAUCAGUCGAGUACAGUGAUUCCGGAAGGAAGAGGUUGUCUGAAUGUAGAUGGAACGAGCAACCCCGCUGGAGCAAGUCCAAGCAGUCCCGUAUGGCAUCAACAGGGACAGGUAGGAUGCUAAGUUGAAUGUGACCAGCUGAAAAGUGAACAGAAAGGGGCUUACUCCCUGCACCC